GACGAACGCUGGCGGCGUGCCUAAUACAUGCAAGUAGAACGCACAGUUUAUACCGUAGCUUGCUACACCAUAGACUGUGAGUUGCGAACGGGUGAGUAACGCGUAGGUAACCUGCCUGGUAGCGGGGGAUAACUAUUGGAAACGAUAGCUAAUACCGCAUAAUAUUAAUUAUUGCAUGAUAAUUAAUUGAAAGGUGCAAUUGCACCACUACCAGAUGGACCUGCGUUGUGUUAGCUAGUAGGUGAGGUAACGGCUCACCUAGGCGACGAUACAUAGCCGACCUGAGAGGGUGAUCGGCCACACUGGGACUGAGACACGGCCCAGACUCCUACGGGAGGCAGCAGUAGGGAAUCUUCGGCAAUGGACGAAAGUCUGACCGAGCAACGCCGCGUGAGUGAAGAAGGUUUUCGGAUCGUAAAGCUCUGUUGUAAGAGAAGAACGGGUGUGAGAGUGGAAAGUUCACACUGUGACGGUAUCUUACCAGAAAGGGACGGCUAACUACGUG
rnacentral:rRNA from 1 species